rnacentral:rRNA from 1 species
UACGAAGGGGGCUAGCGUUGCUCGGAAUCACUGGGCGUAAAGCGCACGUAGGCGGCUUUUUAAGUCAGAGGUGAAAUCCUGGAGCUCAACUCCAGAACUGCCUUUGAUACUGGAGAGCUUGAGUCCGGGAGAGGUGAGUGGGACUGCGAGUGUAGAGGUGAAAUUCGUAGAUAUUCGCAAGAACACCAGUGGCGAAGGCGGCUCACUGGCCCGGUACUGACGCUGAGGUGCGAAAGCGUGGGGAGCAAACAGG